GAUGAACGCUGGCGGCGUGCCUAAUACAUGCAAGUCGAGCGAACAGACGAGGAGCUUGCUCCUCUGACGUUAGCGGCGGACGGGUCAGUAACACGUGGAUAACCUACCUAUAAGACUGGGAUAACUUCGGGAAACCGGAGCUAAUACCGGAUAAUAUAUUGAACCGCAUGGUUCAAUAGUGAAAGACGGUUUUGCUGUCACUUAUAGAUGGAUCCGCGCCGCAUUAGCUAGUUGGUAAGGUAACGGCUUACCAAGGCAACGAUGCGUAGCCGACCUGAGAGGGUGAUCGGCCACACUGGAACUGAGACACGGUCCAGACUCCUACGGGAGGCAGCAGUAAGGAAUCUUCCGCAAUGGGCGAAAGCCUGACGGAGCAACGCCGCGUGAGUGAUGAAGGUCUUCGGAUCGUAAAACUCUGUUAUUAGGGAAGAACAAAUGUGUAAGUAACUAUGCACGUCUUGACGGUACCUAAUCAGAAAGCCACGGCUAACUACGUG
rnacentral:rRNA from 1 species